UAUGGAGAGUUUGAUCCUGGCUCAGGACGAACGCUGGCGGCGUGCCUAAUACAUGCAAGUAGAACGCUGAAGGAGGAGCUUGCUCUUCUGGAUGAGUUGCGAACGGGUGAGUAACGCGUAGGUAACCUGCCUGGUAGCGGGGGAUAACUAUUGGAAACGAUAGCUAAUACCGCAUAACAUUGACUAUUGCAUGAUAGUUAAUUGAAAGGUGCAAAUGCACCACUACCAGAUGGACCUGCGUUGUAUUAGCUAGUUGGUGGGGUAACGGCUCACCAAGGCGACGAUACAUAGCCGACCUGAGAGGGUGAUCGGCCACACUGGGACUGAGACACGGCCCAGACUCCUACGGGAGGCAGCAGUAGGGAAUCUUCCGCAAUGGGCGAAAGCCUGACGGAGCAACGCCGCGUGAGUGAUGAAGGUCUUCGGAUCGUAAAACUCUGUUAUUAGGGAAGAACAAAUGUGUAAGUAACUAUGCACGUCUUGACGGUACCUAAUCAGAAAGCCACGGCUAACUACGUGCCAGCAGCCGCGGUAAUACGUAGGGUGCGAGCGUUAUCCGGAAUUAUUGGGCGUAAAGAGCUCGUAGGUGGUUUGUCGCGUCUGUGAAAUCCCGGGGCUUAACUUCGGGCGUGCAUCGGGUACGGGCAGGCUAGAGUGCUGUAGGGGAGACUGGAAUUCCUGGUGUAGCGGUGGAAUGCGCAGAUAUCAGGAGGAACACCGAUGGCGAAGGCAGGUCUCUGGGCUGUAACUGACGCUGAGGAGCGAAAGCAUGGGGAGCGAACAGGAUUAGAUACCCUGGUAGUCCACGCCGUAAACGAUGAGUGCUAGGUGUUGGGUCCUUUCCGGGACUCAGUGCCGCAGCUAACGCAUUAAGCACUCCGCCUGGGGAGUACGACCGCAAGGUUGAAACUCAAAGGAAUUGACGGGGGCCCGCACAAGCGGUGGAGCAUGUGGUUUAAUUCGAAACAACGCGAAGAACCUUACCAGGUCUUGACAUCCCUCUGACCGCUCUAGAGAUAGAGUUUUCCUUCGGGACAGAGGUGACAGGUGGUGCAUGGUUGU
rnacentral:rRNA from 1 species